rnacentral:rRNA from 1 species
UACAACGAAACUGCGAAUGGCUCGGUAAAACAGCAAUAAUUUCUUCGGGGAUAAUACUACUCGGAUAACCGUAGUAAAGCUAGAGCUAAUACGUGCUACAAAGGCGAGAUUCGUUCUCGUGGUACUAAGUAUUAGGUACAAGCCAAUUUUUUUGGUGAUUCAUACUUAUCUUCUGAUCGCACUCUGUGCGACGCCCCGAUUAAAUUUCUGACCUAUCAACUAUGAUGGUAAGGUAGGGUCUUACCAUGGUUGUGACGGGUAACGGACCGUGGGUGCGGGAUUCCGGAGAGGGAGCCUGAGAAACGGCUACCACAUCCAAGGAAGGCAGCAGGCGCGCAACUUACCCAAUCCGAACUUCGGGAGGUAGUGACAAAAAAUAUCAAUAGGGGGACCAAUGGUCUUCCUAAUUGGAAUGAAAACAAUGUAAACACCUUAUUGAGGAACCAGCAGAGGGCAAGUCUGGUGCCAGCAGCCGCGGUAAUUCCAGCUCUGUAAGCGUAUACCAAAGUUGUUGCAGUUAAAACGCUCGUAGUCGGAUUUUGGCGUGUGCUAUUGAUGCUCCUGAAGGACGCUGACGUAGCUCCGCCUUUGUGGAUGGGGGUGUGGUGGUGCUUUAUUGUAUUGCUGCAUUUCCGCCACUGUUUACUGUGAAAAAAUUAGAGUGUUCAAAGCGAGCGAUUGCCAUGAAUACAUUAGCAUGGAAUAAUAGAAUAGGACCUGAUCCUGUUUUAUUGGUUUGUCGGUAUCAGGUAAUGAUUAAGAGGGACGGUCGGGGGCAUUUGUAUUCCGGCGCUAGAGGUGAAAUUCUUGGAUUGCCGGAAGACAAACAGCUGCGAAAGCGUCUGCCAAGGACGUUUUCAUUGAUCAAGAACGAAAGUAAGGGGAUCGAAGACGAUCAGAUACCGUCGUAGUCUUUACUAUAAACGAUGAGGACUGGGGAUCGGACGUGGCCUAUUGGUACGUUCGGCACCCUCCGGGAAACCAAAGUGUUUGCUUUCUGGGGGGAGUAUGGUCGCAAGUCUGAAACUUAAAGGAAUUGACGGAAGGGCAUCACCGGGUGUGGAGCCUGCGGCUUAAUUUGACUCAACACGGGAAAACUUACCAGGUCCAGACAUAGUAAGGAUUGACAGAUUGAGAGCUCUUUCUUGAUUCUAUGGUUGGUG